rnacentral:rRNA from 1 species
GAUUAACGCUAGCGGCAGGCCUAAUACAUGCAAGUCGAACGGCAGCACGGGUAGCAAUACCUGGUGGCGAGUGGCGCACGGGUGCGUAACGCGUAUGCAAUCUACCUGUAACUGGGGAAUAGCCUUCCGAAAGGAAGAUUAAAACCGCAUAAUAUCACGAGACGGCAUCGUUUUGUGAUCAAAUCUCCGGAGGUUACAGAUGAGCAUGCGUGACAUUAGCUAGUUGGUGAGGUAACGGCUCACCAAGGCGACGAUGUCUAGGGGGUCUGAGAGGAUGAUCCCCCACACUGGUAC